rnacentral:rRNA from 1 species
UACGUAGGCAGCAAGCGUUGUUCGGAGUUACUGGGCGUAAAGGGUGUGUAGGCGGUUCCUUAAGUUUGCUGUGAAAUCUCCCGGCUUAACCGGGAGGGUGCGGUGAAUACUGAGGGACUAGAGUACGGGAGAGGAAAGUGGAAUUCCUGGUGUAGCGGUGAAAUGCGUAGAUAUCAGGAAGAACACCCGUGGCGAAGGCGGCUCUCUGGGACGGUACUGACGCUGAGACGCGAAAGCGUGGGGAGCGAACAGG